GUCCCUGUAGCUUAAACCAAAGCACGACACUGAAGCUGUCAAGAUGGUCGCUUAAACCGCACCCAAGGACA
rnacentral:tRNA from 1 species